rnacentral:RNase_P_RNA from 2 species
UUGUGUUGGUGGACGAUCGCUGAGGAAUCGUGAGGAGUUUAUUUUUUCUCUCUCACUCUCUCCUUAGAGGAAAGUCCGGACACCGUACGGCAACAUACCAUAUAGAAUAUAUGGGAGAUAGUGAUACAAGUCACUAUCGACGGAGAGUGUCACAGAAAACAAACCGCCAAAAGCCUAAUUUAAAAAAUUAAUCUUUUGGUAAGGGUGAAAAGGUGGGGUAAGAGCCCACCGCUCCAAGCGCAAGUAAGGAGGCACGAAAAACCCUAUGUGGUGCAAGACAGAACAGGGGAACAGGCAGCCGGCUUGGAUGCUCGAUUUCGGUCGGGCGAGACUCCGGGUAUUGUCGCACUUGUCAUUAGAUGAGCAGUGGUGAAAAUCACUGAGAGAAAUGAUCGUCCGAAUAGAAGUAAUUCUGUUCGACAGAAUCCGGCUUAUAGCCAACGCAACUUU